rnacentral:lncRNA from 11 species
GGAUUUUAUUCAGCUGUGAGGAAGGAGCCGUGAACCACACUGGUGCUUUAGUUGAAAGAGGACAUGCUUUUCUGCCCUAUCUUUGUGCGCAUUCCCUGCCUGAAGAGUUAACUGGCUUUCUGGAAAAUUUGGAUGAGUCAGAGAGCCUUCCUUCUCUACUUCUUUUUCUCUCUCUCUCUCCUUUUCUGGUUGCAAUGGGGAUAAAGGGGGAAGGAGGGGGUUUCCUGCUCCUUAAUUAAUCAUACACUGCUCCCGCGAUUUAAAUAUGGAAAUGGAAAGCCGCCCGCAAUUAUUAAUGAGCCCCGGGGCUGCCCUGUGGCGCUUGGGAGGCCUUCCCUAGCACGCGGGAGGGGGCGGGGGCGCAGGGUCGCAAAGAGCAUGCGCGGGCCUGUCUGCGGUGGGAGGGGCCGCCCGGGGAGCGGCGGUGCCCUUGACUGACACCGGUCUUUGCGCGAGCAGACUUGGCCGCGCGCCCGGUUCUCACCCGCCAGGCAAGCAGGCAGGCAGGGGAGGGAGCCCGCUGAGGGGACAAGGCGGCCCUUGUCUGAGGAAAGGGAGGGAAGGAAGGCGAAGGGCCCGGCCGGCCAGCAUCUGCUCCAGGGGUACAAAGGAAGACGCGUCGACCAUUCCGGCCUCUACUACCCGCCAGGCCUGCUUUUGCGUGCUGUACCCCUGGGCCUUUCCAGAUCAUAUCUUUGUAUGAAGAAGGUGUAAUCUGGAAGAAGCAAAGGCAUAUGCUGAGUUUGGGAACAACUAGCAUUGUCACACUACUUAGAAGUACACAGGAUAACUUUAAAAGCCUGCCUUGGACUUGGGUGAUGUGAUGCUUACUUACAGAAAAAGGAGAGCUCUACAUAUAUUUGAUGUAUCAGAAAGUACAUUUUUGUUGUGUUUUUCUGUGGCAUUAUGUGCUUAUGAUACUUAAUGUUAUUAUUCUGUAAACUGUAUGAUAAUUUUCUCAUAAAAUUUUUAACUUGCAUAACUGGCUGCACAGAAAUGCCUUUUCAGUAUUAAUAACAGAAUCAUGAAAAAUCAACAAGGAUAGAUUUGCGUUGUGUCUGAAUCUGUAAUAAUACAUUACACACAUGUCGACAUGUCAGUCUGUGGCAGGAAAAACAAUGAAGACUCAUGUGGCACCCCAAAAAUAAAUACUCUUCAUAUGCUUGAAAUGGUUGUGUAAAUUGCUAUAUAUACUGUAAUACAGAGAGAAAACUUUUAUUUACACAAUAACAAGAUUCACUUUGUAUUUGCUCUAGGAAUAUAUGCACACCUUUUUAGCAUGCACUAAUAAACAGUAAAUGUUUAUUGGUUAGCAUUUAAUGUGUAUCUGAAAUUAUAACAUCAUCUUGAGAUUUUCAAGUAUACGACAAUACAUUAUAAAAUGAACCCGGUUCCAUUUAUUUAUUUCACUCUUAUUAAACCACUCAGUACUUUCACAUAGUACACAUGAACUCUCUCAAUUCAACUCAGAUUCUGCUAAACUAUUUCAUUUUAUUGCAGUUACUCAGACCCAUUUUACUGAAUACUGAAGGUUAUAUACAUUGUUGAAAGAGAGGUCUAUUAGUGCUCAGAUCAAAGGUCUUAUGGAUUCACACAAUAUCUAAAAGGCAAUGAUAUAAACACAAUAUGAAAACCAACAAUACAAAACAGUAUAAAAGGACAAUGGUAUAAAACAUUAUAAAAAUACUACAUAAAACAAUUGGCAUAAAGAUCUUGCCUAUUAAAAUUCAAUACCAUUAAAUACAAUAUAACAACAAUUAUAACAUUCUUUGGCUUUAAAACGUCCUCAUAACAAUUAACUGUGAUAUCAGCAAUAAAUUUUGCCCGAAUUUUCUUUGCUGCCGGGGAGAAAAGAAAAACCUUUAGAGUUGCCAUAAAAUUGGUGUUACACAGGAGGUAGAUUUUUUUUUCUGACAUAUUAUUGUUACAUAGGUUAGAUAGAAUUGAUCCCAAAAACCUGGAUCUUGGUUCUGAAUAUAAUGUGCAGAAGAUUAAAUAAUGUGGCAAAUCCUCAAUUUCUGGGGCCCCAGAAAGACACAAAUGGAGGGCCAGAGGGGUAUGUGUAUAUCUCCCCUCAUAAACACUUAGAAUUAAGAUCAUUACAUCUUAAAAUAGUUGUUUCCUUAUUUUGAUGUCAGUUAUCACUGUACACCAAAUAUAUAUAAAGUGCUGAAUUCAGUAAUAUGUCAAUCUGUCUGUGUAAUAUAUAUUAGUGCCAAUAAAAUUUGCAUCCUCCUGUAAAGUUGAAAGAUCAUGAAUACCCACCCAGAUUUGAGGCUAAUUUAAGAGGUGGACAUACUUAGUUGAUGUUGAAUUUAAGUCCAUUUUACCCGUGUUGUGGAUAUUUAUAAAAAAGAUUCAGUCACUAGAUGAAUGGGUUUGCAGAAAUACGUGUAUGUUCCAGGGCACCAUAUUCCAUUCAGACAAAACAAAACGAUAAUGGAAUUGGUUCUAAUUAAGCUAUUCCUUUUUCUUGUAUGAAGUGUGAUUCUGCUUAACAAGAAAGUCACUUUAGCUUGUGUAAUGUGCGACAGUUCAUUCAUAAGUGACAUGUCCCAAUUUUGGAAGAAAGGUGAGAUAUAAAUAAAAUAAUAAAACCUGUUUGUGGGAGUUUGCAGCAAAACUACAGAUCACGCAAAUAUCCAUGAUUCCUGUGAUCUAUCCCUUUACCUCCCAGAAGAAAUUGACAUGCUGUCGACCCCUUACAGUUGGAUACAUUGUGGAUCCAUGACACAGUAAGUCUUUGAGAACAAUUUAAGUAACAGUGUACAUGCUUACUCUGAAAUAAUCAAUGGAGAAAGAUGGAAGCCUGCAAUCCUAUAUACAGUAGGCUCUCAAUUAACCAAAACUCAAGCAAUCAGCAAAAUACCCAAAGAAAUAAUACUGCAUUCACAAAGCUGCUUCUAUAAUACCAGCAGUCCCCAAGUUACAAACAACUUACAUAUGACUCCUAGUUACCGGGGGGGGGGGGGGGGAAGCAAGAAAUGAGAAGAAAUUCACUCCUGUAAGAGUUAUGGGGAAAAGGUGUCUCCACGGAAGCUUUAUGACAUGUUUCCAAGAUAAGGCAACAUUUUCAAAAUCCAAUUAUCACAGGGACAGAAAGUGAAGUGAAAUCUUCUUAAUGGUCACAGACAGCCAAACAACCACCACAGGGGUGUUAAUCCCCAUCUCCCAUGUUAUCCAAAGAUAGAUAGAUAUUUGGAGUUACACUUUAAAAAUGUAUGUUACAAAUUCAGCUUAAGAACAAACCUACAGAACCCAUCUUGUUUGUAACCUGGGGACUGUCUGUACAGUAAAACCAUGUUACAUUAAGUUAAGCUGGCUUUUAUUUGUUUUUAAUUAUAGUAUUUCUAUAUUAAUAUCGAGUCAAUGCAGUAUUUAUGAUAUGGGGUAUCGUAUUAGGCCAAUUUUUAAUUGUAACUCUCAAACAACCAGGAAUAACAUAUAUCUGGCAUCUACCAAUCGUCAUGGGUGCCAUUUAACUGAGCCUGGAUCUACACUUCCAUAUAAUUCAGAUUAUCUGCUUUGAACCAGAUUAUAUGAAUCUACACUGCCAUAUAAUCUAGUUCAAAGCAGAUAAUCUGGAUUUUACAUAGCAGUGUAGAUGGAGCCUAAAAGUCUAGUGUAUAUCUACUUAGAAGUAAAUUUCACUUACUUGCUUCUUGGAGUGUGCAUAUUAAAACUGUACUCCAAACCUUUACAUUAAAUAUGGGGCAUGUCAGGAAAGAAUCAACUUAAUUUCAAACCAAAAAAAUUCCUGUAGAGAAGGUUAAACUAUGCUCCAGGAAACAACUCAGCUUUAGAUUUAUUUUUCCCCAAUAUUCUGAAAGAAAAGAAUUCCUAAGUGAGGUAAUGACCACAGUCUUUGUAUUCAUAUGCUAUUAACAUGGUAUUAUACUGUUCAAUUUACCAAAAGGUUUGACUCUAUUUAGAGUGUAGCACACAUUGAAAUUCCAUUGGUUUAAGCAUUAAGAUUAAAAAUAUACUUCAUUGUCUUCCACUUAAAUUAGAAACAUACAGUCUCUCUCUCUCUCUGGCAAAUUGAUAAAAUCAAAAUGCCCUCCAUUAAUUAGAUACAUACACUAGGAUAUCUGUAGACAUGGUCAACCUGGCUUUGGAAACAUUUUGUUUUGGUUUUCAUAAAUCUUCCAAUUCAGAUUAAUGUUGUUCUAUGCAAAUCACAGAGCUAACUAGAAUAGCAGAGUUUAUGAAUGUUACCAAUAGCAACAAUGUAAUGUAUUACAGUAUAGAGAAAAUAACAUUGUCAUAUCUUGUGACUUUUUGCAAAAUACUAGCACAUUUCAAAUGGUGAUUACCCACUCAGAUUUAUGUAUGCUUCCACUGUCUUGCUGUAAUUAUCUAAAGAAAAGUAGAAGCAUCCAACUUUCAGAUGGCCUAAUUAAGUCAUCACAUGAACACAGAUUUAGGAUUUUGCUAAAAAGUCUUCUCUUUGCUCUUUAAGGCAAAGACGUAUCAAUUUAUUGGCCAUACUGUACAAAUAGCAAUUUUUAGCAUUGCAAUACACUUCAUAUUUUUAUUUUCUUAAACUUAAUAUUAGAUAUCGGUAUUGUGACGUGAUUUUAUAUUGGAAAACCAUUUCUAUUUUGGAGUACAUAAAGACCUCAGUGAUUAAACAAUGGGUCAUUCUCCAUUUUCAUCCAAAGAAAGAAAUAUUUAUUUCUGAAUGUGCAAUAAAAUCUAGGCCACACAUUUUGCUUUGCUUAGUUGGGAGAUACGGAUGGGGCCACAACCAAAAUGUUGUGCUAUAAUAGACUACAUAGACACUGAGUU